rnacentral:misc_RNA from 1 species
UACGGAGGGUGCAAGCGUUAAUCGGAAUUACUGGGCGUAGAGCGCACGCAGGCGGUCUGUCAAGUCGGAUGUGAAAUCCCCGGGCUCAACCUGGGAACUGCAUCCGAAACUGGCAGGCUAGAGUCCAGUAGGGGAGCGCGGAAUUCCACGUGUAGCGGUGAAAUGCGUAGAGAUGUGGAGGAACACCAGUGGCGAAGGCGGCUCUUUGGUCUGUAACUGACGCUGAGGCGCGAAAGCGUGGGGAGCAAACAGG